UUUAGGUCAGUCCCGCACAAACCUCUUUCCAAUAUUCCCGCCGCACAGAACUCCCUCGCUCUGAGCCCUAAUUCCAUUCCCGCACAAACCUUCUUCGCUCUCAGCCUCUCCCCUUAAUUCCAUUCCAGCACAAACCUCUCGCUCUCAGCCCUCAUUCGAUGAGUUAAGGCUCAGCUCUCACUCACCCUCUGCGUGUACUUGGACCAGAGCUCACAAUCGUUUGCUAGAGGACGAUUGAAGACGCUGUCGGCGAGCUCGAUGACCGGAGCUUCUUCUUCAUCAUCUGCAACCAACUCUAUUCCAGAUCACUGCGACACCAAAGACUUCUACUCCUACCUCGUUCAUGGCAUCCUUAAGCCCCUCAACAUUCAACAAGGCUGUGUCAUCUACCCCUUUCUCCGUUAAACCUGCUUUUAUUAACUUUUUUGGUGGAUUCCAUGGAGGAGCUAUAGCUUCUAUUGCUGAGGCUGUGUUAGUAGCUACUGCAAGAACGGUUGUGGUUGAGGAUAAGGAGCUUUUUCUAGGGGAACUGAGCAUCUCUUACCUCUCUUCUGCUCCAAAGAAUGUGAGUAGUAUCUAUAUUAUAUCAGGUUGUGUAACAAAAGCUUUGAGGGUUGAAGAAGGUUAGCUAGCGUCGCUGGACGAAAUUAAGCUUUCAAUCCUUAAGGGUUUAUUGCAGACGGCCGUCUAUGACAAUUUUUCACUUCUUCCAUGGCGGAUCCUUCUUCCACCUUGGUUGCAGCCUUCGUUCUGUCUGACGAGGCACAUGUUGAUCUUGGGGGGCUGGUGCGGCGGCGCUACAGGAUAAUUACCACUAUAUGGUGGGAAGAUUACUAUCUCAUAAUCCUAAUUCCGCUGGUUUGGUUAGAUCUAUUACCACCAUUUGGAGGAUGAGGCAAGGGCUCUCUGUGCAGGUUGUGGGGGAGAGAUUUGUAUUCCAAUUUGAUCGCGAAUCAGAUUGGAAUAAAUAUCUCCAUGGCGGUCCCUGGUUUUAUCGCAAUGCCAUGCUGGUCAUUGCACCUUAUGACGGGGUGUCUCCCAUUGAUUCAGUUCCUCUUCAUACCAUGGAGAUCUGGAUGGCGGUUCGUGGGUUACCUCGAAAGCCACGAAACAAGUUUGCCUUGUCUAUGAUUGGAUCUGCUACUGGGGAGGUCGUGAAAUUUGAUCAGGUGGCUAUGCGCCGCAAUGAUGCAGAGCAACGAAUCCAACUGGUGAUCGAUACAAGACGGUGUUUUCGUUUUUAUCGUAAGUUUUCUUUCUCGCCUGUUGUGGCAGUGGAUUUGGCUUUUGUGUAUGAAAAGGUUAAGGGGUUGUGCAAGAGUUGUGGUCUAUUUGUCCAUGAUGUGGAGGGCUGCGAUCUGCUUUUUGUUAAGGAGCAGGAGGCUUUGCCGGAUGGAAUUCCAGUUGGUGAGAUGGCUGACCUCUCGAUUACGACGGCGGCUGAGGUGUCUCGUCCUUCUCCAGCUGCUAGGGUUUUUGGAGUGGUUAUGUCUCCUAGACAGCCCAGGAUUUCGGGUGAUCUAGGGUUUCUAACCCAAGAUGUAGCAGUGAAGGCUCUUAAGCAUAGGAACCAGGCGGCAUUUUUCUCCCAUCUGACUGUUGGUUUUCAGGCUUCAGGGCUGAUGAAGAAUGGGCUUCUGUCAAUCCCAAAUCUGGCAACUACUGUAGGGGGAGCUCAUUGGUCAUAAACGACAAACAGAGUUUACUCUAUUGAAACCCGAGAAGCGUCUUCCAUCUAUUCCGACACAGAAGUUAUUAGUUCAUGAGGAUAUUGCUCUGUCGCUUCCUCACGAACAAGGCCGGUUAUUGAUCUCUCCAAAGAAGACUAAACUGGGUCGUCCCAAAGGCUCUAGGAAUAAGCACAAAGCUGCGACGAAGGAGGUGGAAGUGAGCAAGCCCCGAUCCAGAGUGAAGGGUCAGAAAAGAUUGUUGAAAUUGCUAGUGGAUGAAGUUCAAGGUGAUACCGGUUCUCUGGACAUACCUCUGGAGUCUACAGAUGGGUUGGGUUCGUCUGAGGGCUCAGUGGAUAAGCAUGCUAUGGUGGGUGAAGAAGAGUGCGUCCUCCCUAACCCACAUGGGGAGACUGUUGGUGCUUCGAUGUUUGAGGAUGUGACUACCUCUUCCAAUGUUAUUAUUUCUACUUGAGUGAGAAAGAUUGACGAGAGAGAGACUGCUUCUUAGUUAUCUUCAUGGUGUUGAAAAAGUCAAAGAUGGUCAAAAUGGUUGGAUUUAUUUGUCCUACAGAUAUUGGUGCCAUUGGUUGUGGCAAUCCAAUUAAGUGUUCCCGUGCUAUAGCUAAUGGGAUGAGAAAUGCAAAGCGUGGCCAUAUUUUUUUCUUGCCAUAUAACUCCGGACAUUAUCUACUUCAUGGAUCCUUUGAAGAGAAGAUUGGCUACAGGAGAGUGGAAGGACAUUGUGAACAAGGUAUUCCAGAGCAACAAAGCAGCAAAGACUGUAGCUAUUUCAUAAUGAGAUACAUGAAGGACAUCGUGGAGGAUAAGAACUUAGAGUUUUUCAGCAAGUGGGAGAAAAGAGGGAAAGCAGCAUAUACCCAGCAGCAUAUUGAUGAAGUCAGAAAUGAGUGGGCAAAAUUUGUUGUUAAAACAUAUAUGUAAGCUUGUGGUUGGUUACUUCUUUUGGUUAGUGGUUGGUGACUUAUUUUGGUAACCUUGAUUUUACAAGAUAGACAAUAUUAUUACUUGCUAGAUUGAGGUUACUUUUGGUUAGGAUUGUUGGAUUUGAUCAUAUCUGGAUAUGGAUAUGUACUUUUGGAAAUGUUUUGGAUUGGCAAUGUAAGAACAGAUGGCAUUGAUAUAUGACAAUGUUUUAUUUUGGAUUUGUUCGGGAUA